GGCGGCGUGCCUAACACAUGCAAGUCGAACGAGGUUGAUCUGGUGGUAACACCAGUGACUACCUAGUGGCGAACGGGUGAGUAACACGUGAGGAACCUGCCCCGAAGACCGGGAUAAGCCUCCGAAAGGAGGUCUAAUACCGGAUACCCCCAUUGAGCCGCAUGGCUCGAUGAGGAAAUGGAUUCCGCUUCGGGAGGGCCUCGCGGCCUAUCAGCUAGUUGGUGGGGUAACGGCCCACCAAGGCGUCGACGGGUAGCUGGUCUGAGAGGACGAUCAGCCACACUGGGACUGAGACACGGCCCAGACUCCUACGGGAGGCAGCAGUGGGGAAUCUUGCGCAAUGGGCGAAAGCCUGACGCAGCAACGCCGCGUGGGGGAUGAAGGCUCUCGGGUUGUAAACCCCUUUCAGCAGGGACGAAUCAAGACGGUACCUGCAGAAGAAGCCCCGGCUAACUACGUGCCAGCAGCCGCGGUAACACGUAUGGGGCAAGCGUUGUCCGGAUUUAUUGGGCGUAAAGA
rnacentral:rRNA from 1 species